UCUCAGGGCUGGGACCUGCUGGAAUGAGGAAGCGCUGCCCGUGGCCCCGACUGUGUGGUCAGAAAUAAGAGCAGUCUCAGUUAUUUAUGGCUCUCUCAACAGUGAUUCCCCACUGUGCCAGUCAUAAGCUGAGGAAAAAGCUUCUGUGGCUGGUUCUUAGAAUUCACAGAAGGAACCGAUCCGUUUCUUUCCCUCAGCAGUGCUGUCUGCCAGGGCAGUUGAAAGGUGUGCAAAGAUGUCUUAGGAAUUCAUUUUGGAAAAACAGGUCUUCAGAAUCAGUAGCGUUCUGACCUGUCGGGGCCUCAGAAGAGGCCAACAGCUUCCCGAGGGCUGGUGUCGGCCACUAGGGGUUGUCUUGGUGCCAGACAUGUUCUUCCAGCACCUGAGCGCCUGCUACUGUAGGUGCUGCCCAGAGGGACAGAAAUGAACAGGACAGAGUUCUGGUUUUGGGGGCCCACUGUCCCCUGGAGAUUAACAGGUAUGACUCAGCCGUUCUUCUACUGCGUGUUCCCAAAGGAAAGGAAUCACUGGCUGGUAACGAUAUCAACUUUUAAAAGGAGGCACGGACAUUGCAAUAGUGCAUGAGCCUGUCAGGAGCCUCACAGGGAAAUGGAAACACCAGAUUGGACGAGGACAGGAAACUGCACGAGGCCGGGCCUGGGCUCCAGUGAGCGACUGCCGGGAGCAGAGGCCGGCUGACAAGGUGGGCUUCGUUUCGGCCCUCCGUGGUAAGAACACUGCUCUCUUUGUCCUACCACAGGGAAGGGACCCCUAGCAGCUUCUGGGGAACAGCUAUGCGGGAAGGGAGGCGAGAGAAGAAGGGAAAAAGAAAAAAAGAAAAGUGAGAGACAGCAGCUGAGGCGGGGAGGCUCGGAGAGGCGCUUCUGGCUCGGAGCGGGGGCCUGCGGCCACAGGGCGGAGACUCGGGCUGACGGAAGCCCAGGACCCGAGGCUGAGGCCGUCGGCCGCGAGACAGGGCUCAGGUGGCCCGGAGCCGCGAGCCCGCCAGGCCCCAGCACGGCGCCCUCCC